rnacentral:lncRNA from 1 species
CUCAACAGGAAUUCCAAACCCUAGAACUUGCUUUGGACUCAACACAUCUAACCACUCUUCAGCUGAUAUCCACUUGCUGACAAAUGAAUCUCUCUGGCCCCUGGACUGUGCCCUGAAACACAGCUUAAAACAAAUGAACAGUAAUCCCAGAGAUCCUGAGAUGAGAAAAGGGUGUUUGACUUAUUCAAAGAAGACCAAGGAAGCCCAAAGACCAGAGAAGAGUGCAGGAAAGGGGCGGCGGUCUGAGAUGCAGUCAGAGCAGUGGCAAGCCCCCAGAGUCUGUGGCAAAGACUUCAGGUUUCAUCCUGAAGAGGAAGACAGGUCUUUGGAGAGUUUUGAUCAAGGAAGUGAGAUGAAAUAUCUUAGGCUUACAAAGAACUACUCUGACAUCUAAAUGGAAAAUGGACUGAUGAAGCAAAAGAAGCCACAAGGAAGCCAGUUCAGAGGCUAUUGAAAUGCUCCAGCUGAACAGAAUCCCGACAUAAGUUUGGGAUCAUGAACCCAUGACAUCAACAUAGUCAGGUUGAGUAUGAAGAACACUGUGCUGUGGUGACAGGGAGCCUGGUUUUUUCCUGGUUUUGGCAUUAGCUCUAUGUGUGACCUCAACCAAGUCACUCAAGCUGUUACAGUCUCUCUAUGUGGAUGAAAUGAAGGGGUUGAAAUAGCUACUCACUGUAGCUCUGAAUGGCUAUAAUUCUAUGAAACUAGAAAAGAAUAAAAUGUGUUUAUAGUCAUUCUCUGACCCUAUUUCUCCUUUUUUAAUAAACAAAACACAAUCCUAAAACACGUUUGUUUUUUCAAAGACAGUUUUUGCUUUAUUCACACUCCUUCCUCUGCUUUGUGGGAUGAUCUCAAUGAAUUUCUGAGGAACUGAGAAGACCAAUUUCCAAAUCAUCUGGAGUAAUUAAUUCCAGUGGUUGGAGUUAAUUAUGAU